UACGUAGGGUGCAAGCGUUGUCCGGAAUUAUUGAGCGUAAAGAGCUCGUAGGCGGUCUGUUGCGUCCGCUGUGAAAACUCGGGGCUUAACCCCGAGCCUGCAGUGGAUACGGGCAGACUAGAGGUAGGUAGGGGAGAAUGGAAUUCCCGGUGUAGCGGUGAAAUGCGCAGAUAUCGGGAGGAACACCGGUGGCGAAGGCGGUUCUCUGGGCCUUACCUGACGCUGAGGAGCGAAAGCGUGGGGAGCGAACAGG
rnacentral:rRNA from 1 species